AGAGUUUGAUCCUGGCUCAGAACGAACGCUGGCGGCGUGGAUAAGACAUGCAAGUCGAACGCUGAUUUCAGGGUAGCAAUAUCCUGAGGUCGGAGUGGCGCAAGGGUGCGUAACACGUGGGUAAUUUGCCGUGAAGUUGGGGAUAACUCGCUGAAAGGCGAGCUAAUACCGAAUGUGAACCUCGGGAGGCAUCUUCUGAUGUUCAAAGUUGGGGACCGCAAGGCCUGACGCUUCACGAUAAGCCCGCGGCCUAUCAGCUAGUUGGUGGGGUAACGGCUCACCAAGGCUAAGACGGGUAGCUGGUCUGAGAGGACGACCAGUCACACUGGAACUGAGACACGGUCCAGACACCUACGGGUGGCAGCAGUCGAGAAUUUUUCUCAAUGGGCGAAAGCCUGAAGGAGCGACGCCGCGUGGGGGAUGAAGGGCUUCGGCCCGUAAACCCCUGUCAUUUGCGAACAAACCUUACGGUUGAACAGAUCGUGAGCUGAUUGUAGCGAAAGAGGAAGGGACGGCUAACUCUGUGCCAGCAGCCGCGGUAAUACAGAGGUCCCAAGCGUUGUUCGGAUUCACUGGGCGUAAAGGGUGCGUAGGUGGCGGGGUAAGUUUGAUGUGAAAUCUCCGAGCUUAACUCGGAAACUGCAUUGAAUACUAUUCUGCUAGAGGGUUGGAGGGGGGACUGGAAUUCUCGGUGUAGCAGUGAAAUGCGUAGAUAUCGAGAGGAACACCAGUGGCGAAGGCGAGUCCCUGGACAACUCCUGACACUGAGGCACGAAAGCUAGGGGAGCAAACAGGAUUAGAUACCCUGGUAGUCCUAGCCGUAAACGGUGCAUAUUUGCUGUAAAAGGAAUCGACCCCUUUUGUGGCGUAGCCAACGCGUUAAAUAUGCCGCCUGGGAAGUACGGUCGCAAGAUUAAAACUCAAAGAAAUUGACGGGGGCCUGCACAAGC
rnacentral:rRNA from 1 species